UAGCAUCAAGUCGAGGUCCAUAUCCUUCGGCCGCUGCAAUUUGCCCAACAUGCUGAACACAUGAAGCACCAGCAGGUAAGCACUCCUUCUGUGAGAUCCCAAUUUCGUGUGAGAUGGACGACCCAUCAUUCAACGAUGGCCCAUCAACCAGAGAUCCAUGACCAAUUCCAUUCGUAAAUGUGAACACACCAUUCGGCUUCACCCCUUUACCGGCUCACUGGGCUUCAUCAAGUUUUCAU
rnacentral:lncRNA from 1 species